rnacentral:rRNA from 1 species
AGAGUUUGAUCCUGGCUCAGGAUGAACGCUAGCUACAGGCUUAACACAUGCAAGUCGAGGGGAAACGACAUCGAAAGCUUGCUUUUGAUGGGCGUCGACCGGCGCACGGGUGAGUAACGCGUAUCCAACCUGCCCACCACUUGGGGAUAACCUUGCGAAAGUAAGACUAAUACCCAAUGACGUCUCUAGAAGACAUCUGAAAGAGAUUAAAGAUUUAUCGGUGAUGGAUGGGGAUGCGUCUGAUUAGCUUGUUGGCGGGGUAACGGCCCACCAAGGCGACGAUCAGUAGGGGUUCUGAGAGGAAGGUCCCCCANAUUGGAACUGAGACACGGUCCAAACUCCCUACGGGAGGCCA